CCGAAGAGUGCAAUCACGGGAGACAGACAUCGGGUGCUAACGUCCGGUGUCAAGAGGGAAACAACCCAGACCGCCAGCUAAGGUCCCCAAAUAUAGCUAAGUGGGAAACGAAGUGGGAAGGCUAAAACAGUCAGGAGGUUGGCUUAGAAGCAGCCACCCUUUAAAGAAAGCGUAAUAGCUCACUGAUCGAGUCGUCCUGCGCGGAAGAUGUAACGGGGCUAAGCUAUAUACCGAAGCUGCGGAUGCGUGCUUGCACGCAUGGUAGGAGAGCGUUCCGUAAGCCUGCGAAGGUGCCUUGUAAAGGGUGCUGGAGGUAUCGGAAGUGCGAAUGCUGACAUGAGUAGCGAUAAAGGGGGUGAAAGGCCCCCUCGCCGUAAGCCCAAGGUUUCCUACGCAACGUUCAUCGGCGUAGGGUGAGUCGGCCCCUAAGGCGAGGCAGAAAUGCGUAGCUGAUGGGAAGCAGGUCAAUAUUCCUGCACCAUUGUUAAAUGCGAUGGGGGGACGGAUCGCGGAAGGUUGUCCGGGUGUUGGAAGUCCCGGUCGCUGCAUUGGAGAAGGCGCUUAGGCAAAUCCGGGCGCAGGAUUCAAGGGUGUGGCGCGAGCUCCUUAGGGAGCGAAGCAAUUGGAAGUGGUUCCAAGAAAAGCCUCUAAGCUUCAGUUUAACAGUGACCGUACCGCAAACCGACACAGGUGGGCGAGAUGAGUAUUCUAAGGCGCUUGAGAGAACUCGGGAGAAGGAACUCGGCAAAUUGGUACCGUAACUUCGGGAUAAGGUACGCCCUUGUAGCUUGACUGGCCUGCGCCAGGAGGGUGAAGGGGUUGCAAUAAACUGGUGGCUGCGACUGUUUAAUAAAAACACAGCACUCUGCAAACACGAAAGUGGACGUAUAGGGUGUGACGCCUGCCCGGUGCCGGAAGAUUAAAUGAUGGGGUGCAAGCUCUUGAUUGAAGUCCCGGUAAACGGCGGCCGUAACUAUAACGGUCCUAAGGUAGCGAAAUUCCUUGUCGGGUAAGUUCCGACCUGCACGAAUGGCGUAACGAUGGCCACACUGUCUCCUCCCGAGACUCAGCGAAGUUGAAGUGUUUGUGAUGAUGCAAUCUACCCGCGGCUAGACGGAAAGACCCCAUGAACCUUUACUGUAGCUUUGCAUUGGACUUUGAACCGAUCUGUGUAGGAUAGGUGGGAGGCUAUGAAACCGGAACGCUAGUUUCGGUGGAGCCGUCCUUGAAAUACCACCCUGGUUUGUUUGAGGUUCUAACCUUGGCCCGUGAUCCGGGUCGGGGACAGUGCAUGGUAGGCAGUUUGACUGGGGCGGUCUCCUCCCAAAGCGUAACGGAGGAGUACGAAGGUACGCUAGGUACGGUCGGAAAUCGUGCUGAUAGUGCAAUGGCAUAAGCGUGCUUAACUGCGAGACCGACAAGUCGAGCAGGUGCGAAAGCAGGUCAUAGUGAUCCGGUGGUUCUGUAUGGAAGGGCCAUCGCUCAACGGAUAAAAGGUACUCUGGGGAUAACAGGCUGAUACCGCCCAAGAGUUCAUAUCGACGGCGGUGUUUGGCACCUCGAUGUCGGCUCAUCUCAUCCUGGGGCUGUAGCCGGUCCCAAGGGUAUGGCUGUUCGCCAUUUAAAGAGGUACGUGAGCUGGGUUUAAAACGUCGUGAGACAGUUUGGUCCCUAUCUGCCGUGGGCGUUGGAUAUUUGAAGGGGGCUGCUCCUAGUACGAGAGGACCGGAGUGGACGAACCUCUGGUGUACCGGUUGUGACGCCAGUCGCAUCGCCGGGUAGCUAUGUUCGGAAGAGAUAACCGCUGAAAGCAUCUAAGCGGGAAACUCGCCUUAAGAUGAGAUAUCCCUGGAGGCUUGACCUCCUUGAAGGGUCGUUCGAGACCAGGACGUUGAUAGGUCAGGUGUGUAAGCGCAGUAAUGCGUUCAGCUAACUGAUACUAAUUGCCCGUAAGGCUUGAUCCUAUAACA
rnacentral:rRNA from 1 species